UGUUCCUAAAUCUAUACAUUACAAAUUUGAUAAACCAAAAUGGGAGAAACAGAAAACUGGAAGUUUUCCUACUACUCAUGUUCGAUCUAAGUUUGUUAAAUUCAACAAGAGGAUACAGAAAUACAUCCCUUGUAAUACUAAAAUCUGUAAAUUCAUGGACAAAAUAGCUAUUAAGAAAAUAUGGGUUCCAAAAGGAACAAUUAUAGCUAACCUACAAGGACCCAAAAGAGCUUGGGUUCCUAAGUUGAAAAUAUGAUUAUUUUUCUGCAAGCAUGUCUAGCUAUCCAAGGUUCUAAUGAAAGACGUUAUCUAAACAAUGGGUGCUCUAGACAUGUGUUAAAGAAUUGAAUGUAACUAAGAAGAAUGAUUCAAAUGAAAGAAAGAAUGAAAUAAGUAAUUCUUACAUCUUCUCGUGUUGAAAUUACUUCAUUAGUUGAUUAAAACAUAACUUGCAAGUAUUAAUCAUUUUUGUGAUAUAAGUGAUAU
rnacentral:lncRNA from 1 species